AAGUGAGUACGAACCAGAGGAUUACUCAUCAUCAGAGCCAUCAGAUUCAGAAACGCUCAAUGAAGACUAUCCUUUCAAUGCUAUUAGUUUACUGCCAAACCGAAGAGGUGCUCCUAAAAUGUUCAAGGCCAUCGAGCUUUCGUCUCUGUAUCAGGGCCCACUUGAAAAGAAGAAAAAUAUGGAAGAACUUUUUCAAUUUAUUCCUCCGAUUCAUCAAAAUUACUUCAAGGAUGUAAUUGGAAAUUGUGACGUUGAAGAUCCUGGGCCCCUUGAAGAAUUGGAAGAAGAAGAUGAUGACAGUUAGUUUCCCCAUUGUUUUGGAAUAUACUCGUGUUUUUAUUUUUCAUAUAAAUUAUGUUUUAUUUCCUCUUUUGGUAAUAAAUUUUUAAAAACGUU